CUGCCCUCAAGCACGGCUUGUGUGUUGGGUCACAGUCCUCCCCGGGGGACGGGCCCGAAAGGCAGCGGCGGCAUCGUGUCCGAUCCUCGAACGUAUGGGGCUCUGUCACCCGUUCUGCAGGAUCGGCCGGGGUCUGCCCGCGUCAAUCUUCUUCUUA
rnacentral:misc_RNA from 1 species